rnacentral:rRNA from 1 species
GGAAUAUUGCACAAUGGGGGGAACCCUGAUGCAGCGACGCCGCGUGAAGGAAGAAGUAUUUCGGUAUGUAAACUUCUAUCAGCAGGGAAGAAAAUGACGGUACCUGACUAAGAAGCCCCGGCUAACUACGUGCCAGCAGCCGCGGUAAUACGUAGGGGGCAAGCGUUAUCCGGAUUUACUGGGUGUAAAGGGAGCGUAGGCGGCGAUGCAAGUCAGAAGUGAAAGCCCGGGGCUCAACUCCGGGACUGCUUUUGAAACUGUAUGGCUAGAUUGCAGGAGAGGCAAGUGGAAUUCCUAGUGUAGCGGUGAAAUGCGUAGAUAUUAGGAGGAACACCAGUGGCGAAGGCGGCUUGCUGGACUGUAAAUGACGCUGAGGCUCGGAAGCGUGGGGAGCAAACA